GCACUGCUGAAGAGUUUCACAAUAGGAUGAAACGGCCGUCCAGUAC
rfam:Schistosoma mattheei strain Denwood, Zambia genome assembly, scaffold: SMTD_scaffold0003768